rnacentral:misc_RNA from 1 species
UUUACCGGCUAUACGGAAGUACGCUAGAAGAUAGAAGAGUGAAUUUUUACAUGUGAAGGUGCCGGAAAGCCCAUGAUCUCGUUAAAGUAUGGCAUUUGCGAUGCGAAGUUUACGAAUUUUAUGUAAAAUAUACAAUGCGAACGCUAGAAUGACCUAUUGUACUUUUCAACGACCUACUGGCCGAAUAUCACUCAUCCAAAUAACGCAAAAAUAUCGUUAUAAUACCGAGAUAACAAAUCGACCAAAAAUCACCAGUAAUCUAACAAACAUACAAUCAUCAAUAAAUGAAGCUGAGUCAUUGAGACAGGAAACAGCAGCUCAUAAGAAACAGAAUGAAUCGACAGAAGAUGAGGAAGAGAAGGCAAACCGUGAAAGAUCAAAGAGAAUGAUGAAUUAUGGAUUUGCAGCUUUUGGUAUAUUCAUGGGUAUUGGCUUCACUUAUUUAGUAUAUGAAUUAGGAAGACCUAAUUAUGAUGAACAUGGGAAUGUCAUCGAGGAUGAAUUUUCCAAUUUACCCUUCUUUGAACAGAUCUAUAAGAGGGUCAAGAGAGAGCUGAAUUAUUAUACAAGAUUAGUACAGGAACCCAGCAGGGAAAAAUUAUUACCUGAUCCACUCAAGUAUCCAUAUAUUCAGCCACCAUAUACUCUAGUUUUGGAAAUGACCGAUCUUCUUGUGCAUCCAGACUGGACAUACCAAACUGGGUGGAGAUUCAAAAAACGGCCUGGAGUAGAUCAGUUCUUAGAAGCAGUAGCACCACCACAAUUUGAAAUCGUCAUUUAUACAGCUGAGCAAGGAAUGACGGUGUUCCCUAUUCUGGAUGCACUUGACCCAAAUGGAUAUAUAAUGUACAGAUUAGUUCGAGAUGCAACGCGUUUUGUGGAUGGACAUCACGUUAAGGAUUUAGGAGCUCUCAAUCGUGAUCUUAGUAAAGUUAUUGUUAUUGAUUGGAAUGAAGAGAGUGUCAAGUUACAUCCAGAAAAUGCAUUCAAACUCUCUCGAUGGGCGGGUAAUGAUGAUGACACUACGUUGUAUGACUUGGCUGCAUUCCUAAACACGAUAUUAACAUCAAACGUGCAGGAUGUGCGAGACGUUUUGAAUUACUAUAGACAAUUUGACAAUCCAUUGGAAAUGUUUAAAGAAAAUCGACGAAAAUUAUUGAUGCAAAUGGAGGAGGAACAAAACAAGGCUGCACUGGACAGCAGCAAAGUACUUACUUCGAGAUGGAAACCAUCUUUUCUACGAAACCGCUAGUCAAGGUGUGGCUAUGCAUUCAGACUCAUCCUGUGAUUGCGUGUUGGGAUGAUUCGAAGUCGACGAUUCCAACCAGUUCAAGACUUUCUGAUGGGAUCCCGUCCGUACAGCCAACGAUUGCUUCCAGGUUGGUUCAAAAGAAUUGUCCACAUCUAUCCUACUGGGCUUUAAGCGGAGCUUUUUAUUCGUGAAAUCUGUAAAAUUAUUUUCAUAAUUUGAAUUAUUGAAGCUCGAAAAUAUACUUAAAUAAAACUUCAA